UACGUAGGGUGCGAGCGUUGUCCGGAAUUACUGGGCGUAAAGAGCUCGUAGGCGGUUUGUCGCGUCGUCUGUGAAAUUCUGCAACUCAAUUGUAGGCGUGCAGGCGAUACGGGCAGACUUGAGUACUACAGGGGAGACUGGAAUUCCUGGUGUAGCGGUGAAAUGCGCAGAUAUCAGGAGGAACACCGGUGGCGAAGGCGGGUCUCUGGGUAGUAACUGACGCUGAGGAACGAAAGCGUGGGUAGCGAACAGG
rnacentral:rRNA from 1 species